UGAGUAACCUGCCCUUCACUCUGGGAUAACUCCGGGAAACCGGGGCUAAUACUGGAUAUGACUCGAACAGGCAUCUGUUUCGGGUGGAAAGAUUUAUUGGUGGAGGAUGGACUCGCGGCCUAUCAGCUUGUUGGUGAGGUAAUGGCUCACCAAGGCAACGAUGCGUAGCCGACCUGAGAGGGUGAUCCGGGCCCACAUUGGAACUGAGACACGGUCCAGACCUCCGUACGGGGAGCA
rnacentral:rRNA from 1 species